AAGUGAAGGACUUUAACCUCAAGUGGAUGCCUUUCCUAACCUCUCACUGUGACCUGAAAAAAAAAACGCUCUACAUGCGAGCUAUAUGAUGAAUAAAUGAAGCACAGGUAAGUAAUUAUAAACAUGAAAAUCUCAAAAAACGUGACGGAUAAUGAGAUUUAGAGAUGCUUAGAGUAAGUUGUGGUCUUGAUUUUGAGGGUUUUGUUUGUCUGCCUAGAUCCUGUUCCUGCUCUCUGACCGACUGUCAAUGAAUGACUUAUAUGUUAAGUUUUCAUCAUUAUGUGCCAUGGAGAGGUGAAAAGGGGGAAUCUGCAGAUUCGAUCAAGAAAGAAAUAUAACAUCAAGAUCGCCGACAUACCUUGGUGCAUAGUGCAAAGAGACCAUUGUUCUUUAAAACUGUUCUCUCGGAAUUAAUUGUGGCAGGUAUCACUGCCAUAAUUAAGCCACAAUAUCACAUAGUCUGGAAUGGUGUGAUGGCAGACAUGGUGCCAAAAAUUACCUUACUGGUUUGCUAAACUUUUCUUACUUAAUUACACAAAAGGAUCACCCUUUUUCAUGAAAGCCGUUGGUGUUUACUUGAGAUAUAAUGGUUCGUGAAAGCUACUUUCGCAUAAAGAUCAUGAGAAAUGUUGCUGGUCAGUCCUUCAGUCAUU